GAUGAACGCUGGCGGCGUGCCUAAUACAUGCAAGUCGAGCGAACGGACGAGAAGCUUGCUUCUCUGAUGUUAGCGGCGGACGGGUGAGUAACACGUGGAUAACCUACCUAUAAGACUGGGAUAACUUCGGGAAACCGGAGCUAAUACCGGAUAAUAUUUUGAACCGCAUGGUUCAAAAGUGAAAGACGGUCUUGCUGUCACUUAUAGAUGGAUCCGCGCUGCAUUAGCUAGUUGGUAAGGUAACGGCUUACCAAGGCAACGAUGCAUAGCCGACCUGAGAGAGUGAUAGGCCACACUGGAGCUGAGACACGCUCAAGACUCCUACGGGAGGCAGCAGUAGGGAAUCUUCCGCAAUGGGCGAAAGCCUGACGGAGCAACGCCGCGUGAGUGAUGAAGGUCUUCGGAUCGUAAAACUCUGUUAUUAGGGAAGAACAUAUGUGUAAGUAACUGUGCACAUCUUGACGGUACCUAAUCAGAAAGCCACGGCUAACUACGUG
rnacentral:rRNA from 1 species